CACGUAGUUAGCCGUGGCUUUCUGAUCAGGUACCGUCAAGACGUGCACAGUUACUUACACGUUUGUUCUUCCCUGAUAACAGAGUUUUACGAUCCAAAGACCUUCAUCACUCACGCGGCGUUGCUCCGUCAGGCUUUCGCCCAUUGCGGAAGAUUCCCUACUGCUGCCUCCCGUAGGAGUCUGGACCGUGUCUCAGUUCCAGUGUGGCCGAUCACCCUCUCAGGUCGGCUACGUAUCGUUGCCUUGGUAAGCCGUUACCUUACCAACUAGCUAAUACGGCGCGGAUCCAUCUAUAAGUGACAGCAAGGCCGUCUUUCACUAUUGAACCAUGCGGUUCAAAAUCUUAUCCGGUAUUAGCUCCGGUUUCCCGAAGUUAUCCCAGUCUUAUAGGUAGGUUAUCCACGUGUUACUCACCCGUCCGCCGCUAACGUCAAAGGAGCAAGUUCCUUAUCUGUUCGCUCGACUUGCAUGUAUUAGGCACGCCGCCAGCGUUCAUCCUGAGCCAGGAUCAAA
rnacentral:rRNA from 1 species